rnacentral:rRNA from 1 species
UACAGAGGGGGCAAGCGUUAUUCGGAAUUAUUGGGCGUAAAGGGCGCGUAGGCGGCCUGGCAAGUCGGGCAUGAAAUCUCUCGGCUCAACCGAGAGAGGCUGUCCGAUACUGCUGGGCUUGAGGACGGUAGAGGGUGGUGGAAUUCCGCGUGUAGUGGUGAAAUGCGUAGAUAUGCGGAGGAACACCAGUGGCGAAGGCGGCCACCUGGACCGUCCCUGACGCUCAAACACGAAAGCUAGGGUAGCGAACGGG